rnacentral:rRNA from 1 species
GACGAACGCUGGCGGCGUGCUUAACACACGCAAGUCGAACGAUGAAGCCUUUCGGGGUGGAUUAGUGGCGAACGGGUGAGUAACACGUGGGCAAUCUGCCCUGCACUCUGGGACAAGCCCUGGAAACGUGGUCUAAUACCGGAUACGACCUGCUCCUGCAUGGGGGUGGGUGGAAAGCUCCGGCGGUGCAGGAUGAGCCCGCGGCCUAUCAGCUUGUUGGUGGGGUAAUGGCCUACCAAGGCGACGACGGGUAGCCGGCCUGAGAGGGCGACCGGCCACACUGGGACUGAGACACGGCCCAGACUCCUACGGGAGGCAGCAGUGGGGAAUAUUGCACAAUGGGCGAAAGCCUGAUGCAGCGACGCCGCGUGAGGGAUGACGGCCUUCGGGUUGUAAACCUCUUUCAGCAGGGAAGAAGCGCAAGUGACGGUACCUGCAGAAGAGGCACCGGCUAACUACGUGCUAGCAGCCGCCGUAAUAC